UACGUAGGGACCAAGCGUUGGUCGGAUUUACUGGGCGUAAAGGGCGCGUUGGCGGCAUGACAAGUCACUUGUGAAAUCUCUGGGCUUAACUCAGAACGGCCAAGUGAUACUGUCGCGCUAGAGUGCAGAAAGGGCAAUCGGAAUUCUUGGUGUAGCGGUGAAAUGCGUAGAUAUCAAGAGGAACACCUGAGGCGAAGGCGGGUUGCUAGGCUGACACUGACGCUGAGUGCGCGAAAGCCAGGGGAGCAAACGGG
rnacentral:rRNA from 1 species